GUUCGGUCCCUAUCUGCCGUGGGCGCUGGAGAACUGAGGGGGGCUGCUCCUAGUACGAGAGGACCGGAGUGGACGCAUCACUGGUGUUCGGGUUGUCAUGCCAAUGGCACUGCCCGGUAGCUAAAUGCGGAAGAGAUAAGUGCUGAAAGCAUCUAAGCACGAAACUUGCCCCGAGAUGAGUUCUCCCUGAGACUUUAAGUCUCCUGAAGGAACGUUGAAGACGACGACGUUGAUAGGCCGGGUGUGUAAGCGCAGCGAUGCGUUGAGCUAACCGGUACUAAUGAACCGUGAGGCUUAACCUUACAACGCCGAAG
rnacentral:rRNA from 2 species